GAUGAACGCUGGCGGCGUGCCUAAUACAUGCAAGUCGAGCGAACAGAUGAGGAGCUUGCUCCUCUGACGUUAGCGGCGGACGGAUGAGUAACACGUGGAUAACCUACCUAUAAGACUGGGAUAACUUCGGGAAACCGGAGCUAAUACCGGAUAAUAUAUUGAACCGCAUGGUUCAAUAGUGAAAGACGGUUUUGCUGUCACCUAUAGAUGGAUCCGCGCCGCAUUAGCUAGUUGGUAAGGUAACGGCUUACCAAGGCAACGAUGCGUAGCCGACCUGAGAGGGUGAUCGGCCACACUGGAACUGAGACACGGUCCAGACUCCUACGGGAGGCAGCAGUAGGGAAUCUUCCGCAAUGGGCGAAAGCCUGACGGAGCAACGCCGCGUGAGUGAUGAAGGUCUUCGGAUCGUAAAACUCUGUUAUUAGGGAAGAACAAAUGUGUAAGUAACUAUGCACGUCUUGACGGUACCUAAUCAGAAAGCCACGGCUAACUACGUG
rnacentral:rRNA from 1 species